CAGUAGCCACGGUAAUACAGAGGAUGCAAGCGUUAUCCGGAAUGAUUGGGCGUAGAGCGUCUGUAGGUGGCUUUUCAAGUCCGCCGUCAAAUCCCAGGGCUCAACCCUGGACAGGCGGUGGAAACUACCAAGCUGGAGUACGUAGGGGCAGAGGGAAUUUCCAGUGGAGCGGUGAAAUGCGUUGAGAUCAGAAAGAACACCAACGGCGAAAGCACUCUGCUGGGCCGACACUGACACUGAGGGACGAAAGCUAGGGGAGCAAGUGGGAUUAGAUACCCGUGUAGUCCCUGUCUCUUAUACA
rnacentral:rRNA from 1 species